rnacentral:rRNA from 1 species
UACGUAGGGGGCAAGCGUUGUCCGGAAUCAUUGGGCGUAAAGCGCGCGUAGGCGGCCUGGCAAGUGGAAGGUGAAAUCCCUCGGCUUAACCGAGGAACUGCCCUCCAAACUGCUUGGCUUGAGUCCGGGAGAGGUGAGUGGAAUUCCCAGUGUAGCGGUGAAAUGCGUAGAUAUUGGGAGGAACACCAGUGGCGAAGGCGGCUCACUGGACCGGAACUGACGCUGAGGCGCGAAAGCGUGGGGAGCAAACGGG